CACGUAGGGGGCGAGCGUUGUCCGGAUUUAUUGGGCGUAAAGAGCUCGUAGGCGGUUUCGUAAGUCGGGUGUGAAAACUUCAGGCUCAACCUGGAGACGCCACCCGAUACUGCGAUGACUAGAGUCCGGUAGGGGAGUGUGGAAUUCCUGGUGUAGCGGUGAAAUGCGCAGAUAUCAGGAGGAACACCAACGGCGAAGGCAGCACUCUGGGCCGGAACUGACGCUGAGGAGCGAAAGCGUGGGUAGCGAACAGG
rnacentral:rRNA from 1 species